rnacentral:rRNA from 1 species
CACGAAGGUUUCGGCCUUAGUGGCGGACGGGUGAGUAACGCGUAGGUAUCUAUCCAUGGGUGGGGGAUAACACUGGGAAACUGGUGCUAAUACCGCAUGACACCUGAGGGUCAAAGGCGUAAGUCGCCUGUGGAGGAGCCUGCGUUUGAUUAGCUAGUUGGUGGGGUAAAGGCCUACCAAGGCGAUGAUCAAUAGCUGGUUUGAGAGGAUGAUCAGCCACACUGGGACUGAGACACGGCCCAGACUCCUACGGGAGGCAGCAGUGGGGAAUAUUGGACAAUGGGGGCAACCCUGAUCCAGCAAUGCCGCGUGUGUGAAGAAGGUCUUCGGAUUGUAAAGCACUUUCGACGGGGACGAUGAUGACGGUACCCGUAGAAGAAGCCCCGGCUAACUUCGUGCCAGCAGCCGCGGUAAUACGAAGGGGGCUAGCGUUGCUCGGAAUGACUGGGCGUAAAGGGCGUGUAGGCGGUUUGUACAGUCAGAUGUGAAAUCCCCGGGCUUAACCUGGGAGCUGCAUUUGAUACGUGCAGACUAGAGUGUGAGAGAGGGUUGUGGAAUUCCCAGUGUAGAGGUGAAAUUCGUAGAUAUUGGGAAGAACACCGGUGGCGAAGGCGGCAACCUGGCUCAUUACUGACGCUGAGGCGCGAAAGCGUGGGGAGCAAACAGGAUUAGAUACCCUGGUAGUCCACGCUGUAAACGAUGUGUGCUAGAUGUUGGGUGACUUAGUCAUUCAGUGUCGCAGUUAACGCGUUAAGCACACCGCCUGGGGAGUACGGCCGCAAGGUUGAAACUCAAAGGA